rnacentral:rRNA from 1 species
UACGUAGGGGGCAAGCGUUGUCCGGAUUUAUUGGGCGUAAAGAGCGUGUAGGCGGCCAGGCAGGUCCGCUGUGAAAACUCGAGGCUCAACCUCGAGAGGUCGGUGGAAACCGUCUGGCUAGAGUCCGGAAGAGGAGAGUGGAAUUCCCGGUGUAGCGGUGAAAUGCGCAGAUAUCGGGAAGAACACCCGUGGCGAAGGCGGCUCUCUGGGACGGUACUGACGCUGAGACGCGAAAGCGUGGGGGAGCGAACAGG